UGUCCCGAUGUCCAUGAUUUCAUGUGGGAAAGUCAGCCUUAUAUCGGCAAUAAGCCGGCAGGAAAUUUGCUUCUGUCCGCUUCCAUCCUGUUCAGUGGAUCUAGUCCUGUGCUGACACUAAGGAUGUUGGAGCUGAUGAACGUCAAAGUCUUUUGUAAACAAACUUACUUCAAUUACCAGAAAGGUUAUCUACUACCAUCAAUUGAACAAGUUUGGACAAGGCAUCAGGCGCAACUGAUGACGGAAAUCCACGGGGAAAAGUCUUCACUUGCAGGGGAUGGACAAUGCGAUUCGCC